CGUGUGCCGGAAAGGCAGUCGGCCGCUUCUCCGGAGGUCGCGGAACCUGCGGUCUGUGUAACCCCGACUCUGGGCUCUCGUUCAAUACAAGUCGUAGCUGCUCUCCUGACUGGUUUCCAAGUCGGAAAGAAGCGCCGACCGCAACUUGCGGCUUGCGUAAUCAAAGGGCAUGUUUAAAGAGCAGACCGCAACCGAGUUUCCAGGGGCGGGCGACUCCUGGGCCCACCCGAGAACACGUUAAUUUAGCCGGCGCUGAGCCCUGCAAGAAGUCUUAGAUGAAGGGGCGCGGCUCUACCCUCUGGGAGCAGGCUCACAAUUGUGGGUGGGAGAUAGAGGAUCCACGCCCAGCCGAGGCCUAUGGUAGUAAGAUAGACGUCCUUCCCUGGAGGAAGAGGUCAGUGCAGGGUGGAAGGCAUUUCUCCAGGUCACCUUUCUAGGAGGAGGUGACUUUUGAGCUAUUAGGUGGAAACAAAAAGGCUUUGACGUCGUACACAUCAGGGUUCCAGCCUCUGCACGGGUCACACCCCCGCUCUGUGAACCCUGAACACAUCAGCAAAGCUCAGAGUGUUUCCAUCUUUAAGAUGCAGAUAGCAGUAGAUGCCCAGUAACAUUUUUGAGGAGCCCCUCCCUCCCCUGCCCGCCCCGGGUGAUCAUGUUAAUUUCUCCCUCAAUUUUACUCCCUCUCUUCUUUUCCUCAGUCUCUUCCUUUCAUUCUUUCCAUUUUCUUUCUUUUCUCCUUCAUUCCUUCAUUUUUCUUUUUUCUAAUUGAGGUAUAACCUACACAUAAUAACCUGCACAGAACUUAAGAGGACACGUAGGUGAACUUUUAUGUAUGUAUACACAAGAAAUCAGCUCCCAGAUCAAGACGUAGGACGUUUCAGUCACCCCAGGUUUCCACCUGCUCCUUCCCAGCCAAUGCUUAUCACCCCAGAGUUUGGGGCUAUUAUGAAGAAGCUGCUGUGAACAUUCUUACAGUCUUGGUGAAUAAAUGCACUCGAUUUUAUUGGGUAUGUAGCAGCAGGGUGUUACCUCUUAACAGUCCAAAUGUCGGGCUGGCUUUGAGUACAGAGGUGAUGGACUAAUGUCCCAACUGCCUCACGUGGACCACACAGGUGACCCCGAGGACUGUGGGCUGGGACAAGGCAGUCACUCUCACCAAGAUGCCACCUGGGACUCUGACCUUUGGGCCCCAGGGACACUCCGGCGAACGAGACGGCCCGUGGCCCUCAGUUGAGCAGCAGCAGGAUGUUCAAAUGGCCACACCGUGCAUGUGUGAAGAGGGAAGAAAGCGUGAUGACACGAUCUGGGUGUGGAUUUCAAGGUAGAAAUGGAACAAAUGUUGAGAAACAUCUUUAAGAAGAAUGCCUUUGCAGAAUUGUUUCCGGUUUCUCCAAGUCUCUUCCUAGCACCUGGCAGAACGUCAGCACAGGAAAGGGAUUUGGUCCCGCAGCCCACCCUGGGGGUUGUUGUUUUAUAGACUUGAAGGUGGCCUCAGGCUGAGCACCUCUCCUUAGAUGCUUCCGACACACAACCUGCACACACAGGCAGAAGGCUGUUGUGGUUCAAAUGGGUGUUUAAAGUGAGUGUGCAGGGGCGCCUGGGUGGCCCAGUCAGUUAAGCGUCCGACUCUUGAUCUCAGCUCAGGUCUUGAUCUCAGGGCUGUGAGUUUGGGCCGCAGGUUGCACUCUUAGCCGGGCAUGAAGCCUACUUAAAAACAAACAAACAGACAAACAAACAAGUGGGGUGUGCCUUCAUCUCUGACCAG